CCUACGGGUGGCAGCAGUCGAGAAUCAUUCACAAUGGGGGAAACCCUGAUGGAGCGACGCCGCGUGGGGGAAUGAAGGUCUUCGGAUUGUAAACCCCUGUCAUGUGGGAGCAAAUUAAAAAGAUAGUACCACAAGAGGAAGAGACGGCUAACUCUGUGCCAGCAGCCGCGGUAAUACAGAGGUCUCAAGCGUUGUUCGGAAUCACUGGGCGGAAAGCGUGCGUAGGCUGUUUCGUAAGUCGUGUGUGAAAGGCGCGGGCUCAACCCGCGGACGGCACAUGAUACUGCGAGACUAGAGUAAUGGAGGGGGAACCGGAAUUCUCGGUGUAGCAGUGAAAUGCGUAGAUAUCGAGAGGAACACUCGUGGCGAAGGCGGGUUCCUGGACAUUAACUGACGCUGAGGCACGAAGGCCAGGGGAGCGAAAGGGAUUAGAUACCCGGGUAGUC
rnacentral:rRNA from 1 species